UACAGAGGUCUCAAGCGUUGUUCGGAUUCAUUGGGCGUAAAGGGUGCGUAGGUGGCGAUGCAAGUCUGGUGUGAAAUCUCGGGGCUUAACCCCGAAAUUGCAUUGGAUACUGCGUUGCUCGAGGAUUGUAGAGGAGAGUGGAAUUCACGGUGUAGCAGUGAAAUGCGUAGAUAUCGUGAGGAAGACCAGUUGCGAAGGCGACUCUCUGGGCAAUUCCUGACACUGAGGCACGAAGGCCAGGGGAGCAAACGGG
rnacentral:rRNA from 1 species